GACGAACGCUGGCGGCGUGCUUAACACAUGCAAGUCGAACGGAAAGGCCUGCUUUCCCUUGUGGAUUGCGGGUACUCGAGUGGCGAACGGGUGAGUAACACGUGAGUGAUCUGCCCCCAACUUGGGUAUAAGCCUGGGAAACUGGGUCUAAUUCCCGAUAGGACUGCAGGGUGGUGCCUGUGGUGGAAAACGAUUUUCUAGUGGUUGGGGAUGAGCUCGCGCCUAUCAGCUUGUUGGUGGGGUAAUGGCCUACCAAGGCGGCGACGGGUAGCCGGCCUGAGAGGGUGGACGGCCACAUUGGGACUGAGAUACGGCCCAGACUCCUACGGGAGGCAGCAGUGGGGAAUAUUGCACAAUGGGCGGAAGCCUGAUGCAGCGACGCCGCGUGGGGGAUGACGGCCUUCGGGUUGUAAACUCCUUUCGACCGCGAGGAAGCCACCUGGUUGGAAGGGUGGUGACGGUAGUGGUAGAAGAAGCACCGGCUAACUACGUG
rnacentral:rRNA from 1 species